rnacentral:rRNA from 1 species
ACGAUGACUAGGGGAUCUGAGAGGAUGACCCCCCACACUGGUACUGAGACACGGACCAGACUCCUACGGGAGGCAGCAGUAAGGAAUAUUGGUCAAUGGAGGCAACUCUGAACCAGCCAUGCCGCGUGCAGGAAGACAGCCCUCUGGGUCGUAAACUGCUUUUAUUCGGGAAUAAACCUAUUUACGUGUAGAUAGCUGAAUGUACCGAAGGAAUAAGGAUCGGCUAACUCCGUGCCAGCAGCCGCGGUAAUACGGAGGAUCCAAGCGUUAUCCGGAUUUAUUGGGUUUAAAGGGUGCGUAGGCGGCUUAUUAAGUCAGGGGUGAAAGACGGUGGCUCAACCAUCGCAGUGCCUUUGAUACUGAUGAGCUUGAAUGAACUAGAGGUAGGCGGAAUGUGACAAGUAGCGGUGAAAUGCAUAGAUAUGUCACAGAACACCGAUUGCGAAGGCAGCUUACUAUAGUUUUAUUGACGCUGAGGCACGAAAGCGUGGGGAUCAAACAGGAUUAGAUACCCUGGUAGUCCACGCCCUAAACGAUGAAUACUCGCUGUUAGCGAUAUACAGUUAGCGGCUAAGCGAAAGCGUUAAGUAUUCCACCUGGGGAGUACGCCCGCAAGGGUGAAACUCAAAGGAAUUGACGGGGGCCCGCACAAGCGGAGGAGCAUGUGGUUUAAUUCGAUGAUACGCGAGGAACCUUACCCGGGCUUGAAAGUUAGUGAAUGAUCUAGAGAUAGAUCAGUGAGCAAUCACACGAAACUAGGUGCUGCAUGGCUGUCGUCAGCUCGUGCCGUGAGGUGUUGGGUUAAGUCCCGCAACGAGCGCAACCCCUAUGUUUAGUUGCCAGCACGUUAAGGUGGGGACUCUAAACAGACUGCCUGUGCAAACAGAGAGGAAGGAGGGGACGACGUCAAGUCAUCAUGGCCCUUACGUCCGGGGCUACACACGUGCUACAAUGGAUGGUACAGAGGGCAGCAAGCUGGCAACAGCAAGCAAAUCUCAAAAAGCCAUUCACAGAUCGGAUAGAGGUCUGCAACUCGACCUCUUGAAGUUGGAUUCGCUAGUAAUCGCGUAUCAGCAAUGACGCGGUGAAUACGUUCCCGGGCCUUGUACACACCGCCCGUCAAGCCAUGGAAGUUGGGGGUACCUAAAGUAUGUAACCGCAAGGAGCGUCCUAGGGUAAAACCGAUAACUGGGGCUAAGUCGUAACAAGGUA